rnacentral:lncRNA from 1 species
GCACGCCUUCACCAAAAUUAGUAACUUAGAACCGUUGGAUGAAGAUGAGACAAUUCAUAUUAUCCCUUGGUUGGCUAGCUUAUUUCCUACACAAGAUGCUAGGUUUGUUGCUUGAAAGCUGUGAUUUCAAGGUGCCAGCAACCUAAAGCUUAUUAAUCAAGCUUAAAACAUAAAUUUGGUAAUAUUAUGCAAAAACAGACACAAGCUGCAUGCAGAGGUAUCUGCCAAGUUUCUCAAAAUAUUAUCCUACUAGUUCUCUAAUGAAGGAAAACUUAAACAUGAGAUGACUCAUGAGUUCUUUUAUAUGCUCUUUUAUAUGCUGUCACAGGUUAACUUGCUCGGGAAGUAUACGAGGGAUUGCGGCAAGAGGCUUCUAGUCUGAUCAUUCAGAGGUGAAUACCAGUAGUGGUAUGUAUGGUUUUCACGACUGUUAAUUUGUUCUUUGUGUUUUUUGGAUUUACCCC